AGAGUUUGAUCCUGGCUCAGAACGAACGCUGGCGGCAGGCUUAACACAUGCAAGUCGAACGCACCCUUCGGGGUGAGUGGCAGACGGGUGAGUAACACGUGGGAACGUGCCCUUCAGUUCGGAAUAACCCAGGGAAACUUGGGCUAAUACCGGAUACGCCCCUUGGGGGAAAGAUUGAUCGCUGAAGGAUCGGCCCGCGUCUGAUUAGCUAGUUGGUGAGGUAAGAGCUCACCAAGGCGACGAUCAGUAGCUGGUCUGAGAGGAUGAUCAGCCACACUGGGACUGAGACACGGCCCAGACUCCUACGGGAGGCAGCAGUGGGGAAUAUUGGACAAUGGGCGCAAGCCUGAUCCAGCCAUGCCGCGUGAGUGAUGAAGGCCUUAGGGUUGUAAAGCUCUUUCGGCGGGGACGAUAAUGACGGUACCCGCAGAAGAAGCCCCGGCUAACUUCGUGCCAGCAGCCGCGGUAAUACGAAGGGGGCUAGCGUUGUUCGGAAUCACUGGGCGUAAAGGGCGCGUAGGCGGCUUUAUAAGUCGGGGGUGAAAGCCUGUGGCUCAACCACAGAAUUGCCUUCGAUACUGUAUGGCUUGAGACCGGAAGAGGUAAGUGGAACUGCGAGUGUAGAGGUGAAAUUCGUAGAUAUUCGCAAGAACACCAGUGGCGAAGGCGGCUUACUGGUCCGGUUCUGACGCUGAGGCGCGAAAGCGUGGGGAGCAAACAGGAUUAGAUACCCUAGUAGUCC
rnacentral:rRNA from 1 species